AGCAGAGUUGCGCAUAACUUUUCCAGCGCCGCUCGCACCGCUAUUCGCCGAGCGCUAUCACGUGGUGCAAAAUGACAUUGAAUGUUCAACUGCACCGCUGCGAAGCCAACUUUACGGGCUCGGCACCGACUCGUUUCCGUCAGUGCCAUCAAAAUUGCAAUCAGCGGACCGUCGAGCGUGCGAUGCACCAAUCGGCUCCGAGUUGCAGUAUGACGGGGUGCAGCGCACCAAAGUGCACAACCCGCACGGAAGGUGCCAAAGCUUUUUACACGGUGCCAUGCGGACGGACGAGACCGGCCGGCUUCGAAAGGGACCAGGAUGUGCGAGGUUACUUUGCCUUGUUUGUAGAGCACCCCCGCUUCCCUUCUGAAACCUCUCCGAUGGCCAACCUGACUCAAGCUCCAAGGAGACGCUCUUGAAGGUGCACAAAACACCAUCCCCUUAACAAUAUCAAACAGCCCAUGCUACUAUUCUGCAAAACCAUGCUCGCAAUAUCUUGAAAGCACUGGCCAAACCAAAGAUAAAGCUAUUAUAUGUCA